rnacentral:tRNA from 1 species
GAGUUAAUCGUCAAAUGGUUAAGACAAUUGCCCUUUAAGCAAUUCAUAUUAGUUCGAUUCCAAUCUAACUCA